GAAACAGGACGUGUUGACAGUAUUUAAUGAUGAAGAGAUGAAAUGAGAUGCUUCUUCACAUCAAACCUCUUUCAGUCUGUUUUCAUUAAAGCGAAUCUGUUGAUUGUGUUUAGAUUUCAGUUUUUUCCACUGCAAACGUGUUCUGGUCCAAACUCCUCACACAGACCGAAGUCUGUGUGGACCAAACCGAACCGUUUUUGUUGCUUCGUUCGUCCUCCAGCAGCUGUUUCCAGAGCUGUUAGACGCACAGUCAAAGCAGAAUGAUGCAUUUCUGCAGUAAACGUACCGGAACGGAAAAUCUAAGAUUAUUUACAAUGACCUGGAAUAAUAACCAUUCCAAACACAGCUGAUUGCAGUUUCAGCUGAAAGCCAACCCUGAUGUCCUGUUGUUAGUCUCCUUACCAAACAGACACAGGGGGGUUUUGUAUGGAAACAUGGAUCGAGGAAGAGGUUGGUGGGGAAAGAAGACUGGCAGUGAGAGGGAGGAUGUGUGGAACACGAAGGAGAGGAAGACCAAGAGCAGUGGGCUCUGUUUGACAAAGGCAACCAAACCUGCAGCGCUUACACUUCCAUCAACUCUACCAAUUUCCCAGCAAAACAGCAGCAGGAUCCAAAGGUUGCCUCCCACAGGAGGGAGAGGCUGAAGAGUUUCAGAUGCGCAGGAAAUUGCCAGUGUUGACUUAGUAAUUGGUAACAAUGCAAUAAAACUGCGGGAAAUUCGGGACAGAGUGCAGACAGAUAAGAUCACUUUGGGAAUAUGAACACGGUCAGAGAGUCCCAGAGAAACAAAAUAAGGAUGAAGCAGCUGUACACUGAGGAACGGUGAACGUGUGAAAGAACUCCGGUAUCAGUAUGUCCAGGAAAAAUGUCUGUUCAAUAACCAAACAGGGCACAUACACAGCUAUGCAUAACGUAAAGUACUGUAUUUUAUAGAGUAAUGGAGAUGGAAGCAGGCAAAGACAUACAUUCAUCUCUGUGGAUGAAGCUGGAUUCAACCUGGCAAAAACACGCCGCAGGGGAAGGAAUGUGAUCGGACAGAGAGCAACCGUGGACGUCCCAGGCCAGAGAGGCGCUAACAUCAUGGUGCGUGCAGCGCUGUCCAAUGAUGUUUGCUGUUAUUCAAACCACUCAUUGGCCCCUACAGUACAGAGAGGCUCAUUGCUUUUCUGGUUGACCUGCACAAUCGAGGCCUUCGCUGUCGUGUGGGAUAAUUCCACCACUCAUCCCAGGAUGCCAGUACUAUACUCCCCCUUCCUAAACCCCAUUCAGGAGCUUUUCUUUGCGUGGGGGCAGAAGGUUUAUGACCACCAUCCACAUGACCAGAUGUCCUUACUGGAUGCCAUGAAUGCGGGCUGUGGAGACACUUCUGAAGGCUGCCAGGGUUGGAUUAGACAGAAGAUACUUUCCAAGAUGCAUCGCCAGUGAAGAUAUAAGAUGUGAUGUUGAUGAGAACUUGUGGCCAAAUGCAGGAGUACAGUCCUGUACAGUAUGAGUGAUUAGACAUGUUGUUGGUGGUUUUUUUGUAAUUAUUAUUGCAGCCCUGGAAUGUCAGGAAUUUGUUUUUUGUUUCAACUUUUUAUUUUUCUGAAGUAAAUUACUAUAUGCACAGAUAUAAAAAGAUUAAGUAUAUUGAAGCAAAGUGCUGCAUUUCUGAUUCAUUUUUGUUACAUCUACUUUAGUACAGUCAAUAAAGUGAAAAUGUGUUAUUGUUAUUCUA